rnacentral:rRNA from 1 species
GAUGAACGCUAGCGGGAGGCCUAACACAUGCAAGCUGAGCGGUAUUUGUCUUUCGGGACAGAGAGAGCGGCGUACGGGUGCGUAACACGUGUGCAACCUGCCUUUAUCAGGAGGAUAGCCUUUCGAAAGGAAGAUUAAUACUCCAUAAUAUAUUAAUGGCAUCAAUUGAUAUUGAAACUCCGGUGGAUAAAGAUGGGCACGCGCAAGAUUAGAUAGUUGGUGAGGUAACGGCUCACCAAGUCGAUGAUCUUUAGGGGGCCUGAGAGGGUGAUCCCCCACACUGGUACUGAGACACGGACCAGACUCCUACGGGAGGCAGCAGUGAGGAAUAUUGGACAAUGGGGUUUAGCGCCUGAUCCAGCCAUCCCGCGUGAAGGAUUAAAGGACCUAUGGUUUGUAAAACUUCUUUUGUACAGGGAUAAACCUA